GACGAACGCUGGCGGCGUGCUUAACACAUGCAAGUCGAACGGAAAGGCCCUGCUUUUGUGGGGUGCUCGAGUGGCGAACGGGUGAGUAACACGUGAGUAACCUGCCCUUGACUUUGGGAUAACUUCAGGAAACUGGGGCUAAUACCGGAUAGGAGCUCCUGCUGCAUGGUGGGGGUUGGAAAGUUUCGGCGGUUGGGGAUGGACUCGCGGCUUAUCAGCUUGUUGGUGGGGUAGUGGCUUACCAAGGCUUUGACGGGUAGCCGGCCUGAGAGGGUGACCGGCCACAUUGGGACUGGGAUACAGCCCAGACUCAUACGGGAGGCAGCAGUGGAGAAUAUUGCACGAUGGGCGGAAGCCUGAUGCAGCAACGCCGCGUGCGGGAUGACGGCCUUCGGGUUGUAAACCGCUUUCGCCUGUGACGAAGCGUGAGUGACGGUAAUGGGUAAAGAAGCACCGGCUAACUACGUG
rnacentral:rRNA from 1 species